rnacentral:rRNA from 1 species
CAGGAGGUUAGUGCAAUGGCAUAAGCCAGCUUGACUGCGAGCGUGACGGCGCGAGCAGGUGCGAAAGCAGGUCAUAGUGAUCCGGUGGUUCUGAAUGGAAGGGCCAUCGCUCAACGGAUAAAAGGUACUCCGGGGAUAACAGGCUGAUACCGCCCAAGAGUUCAUAUCGACGGCGGUGUUUGGCACCUCGAUGUCGGCUCAUCACAUCCUGGGGCUGAAGUAGGUCCCAAGGGUAUGGCUGUUCGCCAUUUAAAGUGGUACGCGAGCUGGGUUUAGAACGUCGUGAGACAGUUCGGUCCCUAUCUGCCGUGGGCGCUGGAGAACUGAGGGGGGCUGCUCCUAGUACGAGAGGACCGGAGUGGACGCAUCACUGGUGUUCGGGUUGUCAUGCCAAUGGCACUGCCCGGUAGCUAAAUGCGGAAGAGAUAAGUGCUGAAAGCAUCUAAGCACGAAACUUGCCCCGAGAUGA